AUGUACCACUCGUACACUCAGGUUCCUGUGCGCCGUCCACGCCCACCUGACGACCGCUCGCUACGCCUUGUUAGCC
rnacentral:sRNA from 1 species